GGCGAGAGGCCCGGCGCCGACCGCAACCCUAGCCCGAAUCAGCACCCGCCGCCCGACGCUUCCGGAGGGGGCCGCUGGGGCGGCCUAGACCGACGUCGAGGCGCGGCGCCCGUUCACGGCCAUCAGCCAGGUCCACGCCGACCUCGCCCUGGCGGUCUGCCGCAGCGGAGCGCCGGCCUGGAGUUCGUCGACGCGACCGCCGAUGGGUCGGAUCGGAAGGAGCGGCGGUCCGUUGUUGACGAGGCGCGCUGGCGGCCCGUUCGGUCCCGAUCCCAGGUGCUGGUCCACCGGCGUGGAUGAGGAGCCCGUAUGAGGAGCCCAGGAGCAAGCAAGUUGCCUAGAUCUCGCAGCCCCGGCCGUCCCGUCUCCGUCCCUAGGGUUCCGAGUGCAGGAGAGGGCGUACAUGAUGCUGCGGAUGAGCGGAGGCGGCGAGGCCAGCGAUCAUGGGAGCUCGGAGGCCAGGAGUUACGAGGAGGAGCUCGAGCAACACCUCUGCGUCCACCACCAGGAGCACCCGGGUGGCGUCGAUGGUGAUGGGGACGAUUAUCUCAAGGCCAGGGUGAGGGCAAGGGCGAGGAUGAAGGCGAGGGCGAGCUCUCCGAGGCUCUGAGGAGAGCGAGUACGAGGAGGAGGGGUUUGAUUAGGAUGAGGAGGUGGGGGACGUGGAGCCAGAGCUAGACGCUGCAGAGUACAAGGUUGCCACAUGGCUUAUGGCCCUCGCUGGUAUUAGCAUUGGCGGACGGAGGAGCAUGUCGAGGAUCACAUAAACACCGCGCAGGCGUGGAAUUUGAAGCGUGGAAUUUGAGGGAGGUGAAUCCUUGGUUGCACUUCCCUGCAAGCAUUCAUACCAUUUUGACUGCAUUAAUCAGUGGCUUCAAAUGAAUAAGAUGAUGCCACAAGUAGUUAGUCAGCAAACAUAGCUAUUUGGCGAGCUAUGGCGAGCGCCAUACCUAAAUGGUGUUGUUCGCUGCAAAUAUAUGCCACAACUCCAGGAUGCUAAAAUUGAGUGCGACCACCCCGCAUACAACUAAACCUAGCUACUGCAUGAAAUCACGAUCGUGCGUGGUGGAGGCGGCAGCGGCAGCGAAUAGGGCAUUAGGGCACGGCAGGGCGGUAGCAGCCGGCGACGCGUGGCCGUCAUGGGCUGGCAAGGUGGUGAACAGCGACUCAGCGAGCCGUGAGGAUAUGGACAUUUAAAGGAAUUGAUCUUGCUGAAAUUAAGAAAGAAUUUCAAAAUAUACCGAGAAGAAUGCCUUUGCCACGGUCAAUAAAGCUUUAUUAUAGAUGAUUACGAGCAAGAUACAAGGACACAAAAAACUUAGGAUGCAGAAAGGUUAGAGGCGAGCUGCCGCUAGCGCACUGUGGCGUGCUGCAUCUCCCAUCGGUGCUUGCGACAGAAGAACUACAUCCCUGGCCUAUUCAUCUAUGCCUCAGCUGCUGCCUCUCCAAGCAAUGCCAAACCUAUAGGCUAUAACAGGUUAUUGAAGGGGAUCGUGUAUGGAUGCCGACAUUCAGACUGGUCAGCUAAGAGACCAGGACAUGCAAUCUGGAGAGGUCCUUGGUCAUCAGCUGGUCCAUCACGAGUGCACGGCUGCAGGCUUAAAUUGAGCAUGUUAAUGUGUCACGGGAAGACUGCAUUCUGAGAUCAAUUGAUGUGUUAAUCUUGAAUAAAAGAAAAUAGCACUAAGCUUCUCAACGUGGACACUCUCGACAGCUAGGUAAUUAUAUAAAAUAUCCUUAUCUAUAUAUACUGAAGUUUAUGUAUGUAUGUCCAAUUUAUCCAUUAAUUUACAUCCUUGGUCCUCAUGGUGCUGGCACUGAAGUAGAUCAUAUGCAUUUUACUGAAGUGGGAGUAAUGCCAGUUCUCCACUCAGCGUAAUGUCCCUGUGAUAUACUAUGUGAUUGAUUCUACUUUUCCUUGAUGCAACUGAUGUACUGCCACACAAGGACAAAUAUUUUAGUUGUGUACUAUAUGGAAAACAUGAUUCUUCCAUCCUGAGACUGAGUGGUUGUAUUAAGAGAACCACAGCUAUUUUCUUU